UUUAAUCUCAUUCGGAUAUUAAGUGUGGAUCGGAUUCGGUUUGGGUUUAGUCUCCUUUGUUUCACGAAUAGAUCUGGUUGAACCCGAAAUAGUUUUGGUAUCAGAUACUAAUCGAGUUAUCGGUUCUAAAAUGUUACUUUAUACUUGAUAAACUUAAGUAUAUAUCCAAUAUUUCAAUAAUUUGUAUGCUUAGCUUUCUCAUACCAUAUUAUUGUCUUUCAAAAUAAAUUUGGCCUCGUCUAUAGGAGGCUCAUCCUUGAACUAUCUUAUUAUAUAAAGUUUAGUUCUUCAAAGUUGCUAAUUAACAUGAUCACGACACAUGGCAAUUAUAUAUUUUAAGAUUGUGACAUGUGUUAAUCUAUCUCAUAAUUAAAAAUAUAUAUACUAAGAUAUUAACAAAAACUAAUUUUAUUAAAAAGUAAUUAAAAUAUUAUUUAAUAGUAAUUUUCCUUUUUCAGAAUCCUAAUCAAAAGAUAAUUGCAAACGAUUAUUUGAUACUAAUUUUCUUUCUAAUAUUGUGACAUGUGAUUAAAUAUAUAAUGAUUAAAUUUAUAUAUAAUAAGAUAAUAAAAACGAAUUUUGAAAAUGCAACUUUAAACAACAGUUAAUAUUAACUGGAAAUAAUUAUUUGAUAGAAAUUUAUUUUUCUAAAUCCUAGACAAAAUAUAAUUAUAAAAGAUUUUGUAAUAUUGAUUUCCUUUUCUAAAAUCUUAAAAAAACUGUAAAAGAAUAUUUGAUAGUUGUUUUCCUUUUUAUAAAAAAAAAUUCCUAAACAAAAAAAAAUUGUAUCAUAUUUUUAAGUCCUAACCAAAAGAGAAUUGUACAAAUUUAUUUGAUAAUAUUUUUAAGAGAGUAUUUAAUGCUGAACAUGAUACUAAAAAGUAUUUAAUUAACAAAAGAAGUGUAAAUUAGUUUUGAUAUGAAUUGUCAAAAUAGUAAUUUUAAAAUUAUUUAUUAAUAGCUAAAAAUAAUUAUUUGAUAGCAGUUUUAUUUUUUGGGAAAUUGCCCUUAGGGUUAACUAAUCUAAACUUAGGAUUUAGAGUUGAGGGGUGGGGUAGGGUUUUUGGAUAUUGCAAAAGAUAAUUGCAAAAGAUUAUUUGAUACUAAUUUUCUUUCUAAUAUUGUGACAUGUGAUUAAAUAUAUAAUGAUUAAAAAUCUAACAAUAAUAAAAGGAAGAUAUUCUCGAUGGAGAGAGUGCCUUGUCAGAUUUUUUAAUCGUCCAAUUAAAAUGCACUCAUCUACCAUGUUAUCAACAAUAUAAUCAUGCAAAAUAAUAUGGGCUCUUAGUGAUUUGAUGUGGCCCAAUUUUCACGAUCUCUUCGACUUUUACACUUCCUCUUCGCCGUCUCAAAGUCUAGAAACCCUACCGUCUAUGUGUUUCACCGUUCUGACUCCCUAUGUCUCUCCUCCUAUAUAAAAACCUUUUCCGAUCGACCUCCAAGCUCAUUCAACAACAUCCACAAAACUUCUUCCGGUAAAAGCAAAGUCAGUCGGAAAAAUCUCUUGGCAAGUCUCGGGCAGUUCUAUUUUUCAACUCCAUCACACUAGGCCUCUCCGACUCAGAGUUACACUUUAGUUUAUUUCACUUAUGGGAGUCAAGAAACAGGAGGCUCCGUAUUGGCUUUGAACUGCAGUUCUUAAACAAGCAGGUAUGAUCUUUUACUGAUUAACCUGACACUAUACUAUUUUCACAAGUCGCAGAAAAAAGUGUGUAUCGGUGGUAUAUGUUUAUCUCCGUGUUUGAUUUAUAAUGCAUAUGUCUUGCAUUUCAUUUAAAUAAAAAUAAACAUCUAAUAUUAAUUCUCAAAUCGCUGUGUAUAACGUAGUCUUCAAUAUCCCUGCUGUGAAAGAACUUCCGGAUUUUAGAAUACUUGAGGGACUAACUGUGAACUCUCUUCGAGGCGCAAAGGUAAAUGGUGGCUUUCUGAUUUUGUUUCCCUUCGUGUGACAGAAAAAAAUUAUAUAUAGCUGAUGUGUAUGUCAACAUGGUAGAUGACAGAGGCAAGGGUUAGAGGGCUUAAAGGAGUCAUACGAUCUUGCGGUAUGUGCUUUUGUGGUGUCUUCAAAGGAAUUCAGGUUUGCGAUUGGACCUAACUUUUUGCAUUUAACUGUAAAUAGAAACAAAAAAAUUUAUCAUUUACCAUACUACUCUCACCUAACUUUUUCAAGUAGGUUAAACAACUUUUACCUUAAGUAACAUGAAGGUGAUUUGCCAACAUGAAGACUGCAGACGGCAAGGUUUCCAAGAGUUUAUGGGUCUUUAGCAUCUUACAAUGACCACAAACUAAUUUCACACUUGCACAUAUACAGAAGAAGCCAAGAAAGCAGUGCAGUGUGAGAAAUCAAGAAACAUUGAUCUAGAAGGAUUUCGAUAAUUUUGGUUGGUGACUCAAUCUCUUACCUUCUCUCAUUGAUAUUAUCAUGGUUUCUUUCUUUAGCUGGACUAAGAUCAUUCAACAUCAUUGUUUUUUCUUCCCCCAGUUGAAAACUGUAAGUACUAUGGAUGCUACAAUUAAAUUGAACUGCAUAAGCAAGGGUUUCAACUCUCAAGACACUCAAUUGGAAAGGACUUAGCUGGCAGCAUAUUUGCAUGAGCUUUAAUGAUCUUUACACGUUCGGCAUCGAAAAGCUUUCUCUGUCACUGAAACACUGUGUAAAAGUAAGGAAACAAAUACAAUCUUUUCUUGGUUUUAAUAUUUUUGGUUGCUGUGAAUUGUAACCUUAGUUCUUUAUCUUAGUUACAAGAUCUUCACUGAAUGCGAGACAUGGAAGACUUUUAACGAUGGCUCUACUUUGCUGAAAUAGGAAUGAGCUUCCAAUGAAUAAAGGUAAACCAUAAGAGAAACCCCAUUCAAAACCCAAUGUGUCAACAGAGAAUAGAAGUUCUAAUUUUUCUAAGUCAGUUUUUCAUUUAUCAUGCAGGUCGGAUUAUGUGUUGGUCACAAGCUGUUGUCAACUAUGAUUGUGCUAUGUACAGUAGAUGUGCUUAUCUCAAGCUGCCUAAUUAUUUUCUAGCAAUCUAUCAAGCGGAGGAAGUUUGCAAGUUAUCAAGGUCUGGCAAUCAUAUCGGACUGAAUGGGAAGCCUUUAGCCGACGAAGAAACAAAGACUUAUCAAAGAUAAGUUUACAAUUGUAAAAGCUGCCACAUGCAUCACAUGGUCUGUAAAAAAUAAUAUUCUUGGCUUAGGACAUAAUAUGAUUGUAUCCCAGGAAGAAAUACAGGUAAUUCUAUUUUCAAAAGGUUUAUUGCUUCCUUCA